CAUCAGAAUCGCAUCUGUCUUUAGAAGCAUGUGAUCGGAUGUUUUCUUAGGUCUCGUUCUCAGCUGUGUCAACAGCUAUAUGCAGCAAUGUUUUUUUACAGUGGAUAAGGACUUGUGCCGAUUCAAAGGCAGGCAGAGGCUUCCAGCCACAGGAUUCUCAGGCAUCCGUCUCUGCGGUUCUUGGAAAAAGUUGUUCCAUUAGCAUCUUUUUCCUCCGGGGUCACCCGAGCCCGGCAGGCUCACCUCGGGUCCCUCCUCAGUCAUCACGUUCAGCAUUCUCUCGGUCCUCGUGAGGACUUUGUCUCCCUGUCAUGUCCCCUCGUGUCACGGGUGUCUGGGGGUAUUUGGUCCGGAGCUGCUCUGCCCUGGCGCCCAGCCCAGUUGUAGGUGUUUAAGGACAAGUCCCGGGCACUUGUAAUUGGAGAUUUGUAAUACGGGCUGUAGUUGGAGUCUAGCUGGUAUUCUUAUGUUGGCAGCAGGUGUCUGGAGCUGUGAAGUUACCCUGCAGCACUUUGACUUUUUUCCUAACUUUCUUUCAGAUUCAGACAGAUUGACCUCAUGGCAGAGUACUGCAUCCCAGAUGAUGGGGGUCCCCCUGAGAAGGAAGUAAAGCUGGAUAGCAGCGGGGAAGGCGAAGCAGGUGGAAGGUGGUCUACUUGCAAGAUAUCCCAGCCCAGGAUGCUGGAGGACAGGUGGGUGCAAGCUCUGUGUGUGUUUUGGUGUUUAAGUCCCUGGUUUGCUGCUAAACUUUAGUUCUUGAAGAUAGAAUGAAAGAACCACAUCACAAAUCCCACCUUGUGGAUCCUGACACACAUUGGUGUCACGGACAGGAUUCUGAGAGACAGAAGGGGUUGCAGGUUUAUCGUGCAGUCAGUAUCAGGGGAAAGACGGUUCGCCUCAGCCGCCCCUAGCCUGCCACGCCCGUGAGCAGUGUCUAGAAAGCAAGGGAGGUGACUCGAAUUUGUUAAAAACAGCACAUGCCUCAGGGCAAAGCACCCCACACUCGUUUGAGG